rnacentral:rRNA from 1 species
GAUAAACGCUGGCGGUGUGCUUUAUGCAUGCAAGUCGAACGGGUUCCGCAAGGAAUCAGUGGCAGACGGGUGAGCAACACGUAAGCGACCUGCCCUAAAGUGGGGAACAACUCCUAGAAAUGGGAGCUAAUACCGCAUGUGAUCUUACUUUUAAACUUGUAAGAUUAAAGCCGUAAGGCGCUUUUGGAGGGGCUUGCGUCCGAUUAGAUAGUUGGUGAGGUAACGGCCCACCAAGUCAACGAUCGGUAGCUGGUUUGAGAGGACGACCAGCCACACGGGGACUGAGACACGGCCCCGACUCCUACGGGAGGCAGCAGCAAGGAAUAUUGGGCAAUGGGCGAAAGCCUGACCCAGCGACACCGCGUGGGGGAAGAAGACCUUCGGGUUGUAAACUCCUUUUAUUGGGGAAGAAUAAUGACGGUACCCGAUGAAUAAGCCCCGGCUAACUACGUGCCAGCCGCCGCAGUAACAC